GUUUUAGAACUCCCCAAAUUCUGUAUCUGGGUUAGAGUCCCGGGGAGUUUUGGAACUCCCCAAAUUCUGUAUCUGGGUUAGAGUCCCGGGGAGGUUUAGAACUCCCCAAAUUCUGUAUCUGGGUUAGAGUCCCGGGGAGGUUUAGAACUCCCCAAAUUCUGUAUUGGGUUAGAGUCCCGGGGAGUUUUAGAACUCCCCAAAUUCUGUAUCUGGGUUAGAGUCCCGGGGAGUUUUAUAACUCCCCAAAUUCUGUAUUGGGUUAGAGUCCCGGGGAGUUUUAUAACUCCCCAAAUUCUGUAUUGGGUUAGAGUCCCGGGGAGUUUUAUAACUCCCCAAAUUCUGUAUCUGGGUUAGAGUCCCGGGGAGUUUUAUAACUCCCCAAAUUCUGUAUCUGGGUUAGAGUCCCGGGGAGUUUUAGAACUCCCCAAAUUCUGUAUCUGGGUUAGAGUC
ensembl:lncRNA